rnacentral:rRNA from 1 species
UACGAAGGGGGCUAGCGUUGUUCGGAAUUACUGGGCGUAAAGCGCACGUAGGCGGCUUUGUAAGUCAGAGGUGAAAGCCUUGAGCUCAACUCCAGAACUGCCUUUGAGACGGCAGCGCUUGAAUCCAGGAGAGGUCAGUGGAAUUCCGAGUGUAGAGGUGAAAUUCGUAGAUAUUCGGAAGAACACCAGUGGCGAAGGCGGCGGACUGGACUGGUAUUGACGCUGAGGUGCGAAAGCGUGGGGAGCAAACAGG